rnacentral:rRNA from 1 species
UACGGGGGGAGCAAGGCGUUGUUCGGAUUUACUGGGCGUAAAGGGCGCGUAGGCGGCCUGUGCAAGUCAGUUGUGAAAUCUCCGGGCUUAACUCGGAACGGUCAACUGAUACUGCUCGGCUAGAGUGCGGAAGGGGCAACUGGAAUUCUUGGUGUAGCGGUGAAAUGCGUAGAUAUCAAGAGGAACACCUGCGGCGAAGGCGGGUUGCUGGGCCGACACUGACGCUGAAGCGCGAAAGCUAGGGGAGCGAACGGG